rnacentral:misc_RNA from 1 species
GAUGAAGAACGUAGCGAAAUGCGAUAAGUAAUGUGAAUUGCAGAAUUCAGUGAAUCAUCGAAUCUUUGAACGCACAUUGCGCCCGCCAGUAUUCUGGCGGGCAUGCCUGUUCGAGCGUCAUUUCAACCAUCAAGCCCCCGGCUUGUGUUGGGGACCUGCGGCUGCCGCAGGCCCUGAAAACCAGUGGCGGGCUCGCUGUCACACCGAGCGUAGUAGAUUUUCAUCUCGCUCAGGGCGUGCUGCGGGUUCCGGCCGUAAAAAGCCUUAUUUACCCAAGGUUGACCUCCGAUCAGGUAGGAAGACCCGCUGAACUUAAGCAUAUCAAUAAGCGGAGGA